rnacentral:rRNA from 1 species
CCUACGGGGGGCAGCAGUGGGGAAUAUUGGACAAUGGGGGGAACCCUGAUCCAGCCAUGCCGCGUGUGUGAAGAAGGCCCUCGGGUUUUAAAGCACUUUCAGUGAGGAAGAACGCCUGGUGGUUAAUACCCAUCAGGAAAGACAUCACUCACAGAAGAAGCACCGGCUAACUCCGUGCCAGCAGCCGCGGUAAUACGGAGGGUGCGAGCGUUAAUCGGAAUUACUGGGCGUAAAGCGCGCGUAGGUGGCUUGAUAAGCCGGUUGUGAAAGCCCCGGGCUCAACCUGGGAACGGCAUCCGGAACUGUCAAGCUAGAGUGCAGGAGAGGAAGGUAGAAUUCCCGGUGUAGCGGUGAAAUGCGUAGAGAUCGGGAGGAAUACCAGUGGCGAAGGCGGCCUUCUGGACUGACACUGACACUGAGGUGCGAAAGCGUGGGUAGCAAACAGGAUUAGAUACCCCUGUAGUC